rnacentral:rRNA from 1 species
CUCCUAAAUGUUCUGGGCUGCACGCGCACUACACUGAAGCCGGAAACGAGCUACGUCAUUUCGACCCUGGCUAGAAAUGGCUGGGAAAUCUUUGAAAACGGCUUCGUGACUGGGAUAGAUGAUUGCAAUUAUUUGCCUUGAACGAGGAAUGCCUAGUAGAGGUGUUUCAUCAGAACACCUUGAUUGCGUCCCUGUCAUUUGUACACACCGCCCGUCGUUGCUACCGAUUGGCUGUGAUUUAGAGGCUUUGGGACUAGCCUCGGCUAGCUCUGCUACGCCGAUGGUUGGGAACUUGCCCGAUAAAUCACUGCUAGAGGAAGCAAAANUCGUAACA